AGCAGCCGCGGUAAUUCCAGCUCCAAUAGCGUAUAUUAAAGUUGUUGCAGUUAAAAGCUCGUAGUUGAAUUUCGGGAUCAAAUUGUCGGUCGUGCCUCGGUACGCACUGGUAUUAUUGGUUCCUACCUUCUGAAGAACCGCGAUGUCAUUAAUUUGGUGUCGUGGGGAAUCAGGACUGUUACUUUGAAAAAAUUAGAGUGUUUAAAGCAGGCUUACGCUUGAAUACAUUAGCAUGGAAUAAUGAAAUAGGACGUUUGAUUCUAUUUUGUUGGUUUCUAGGAUUGACGUAAUGAUUAAUAGGGAUAGUUGGGGGGCAUUAGUAUUCAAUUGUCAGAGGUGAAAUUCUUUGGAUUUAUUGAAGACUAACUACUGCGAAAGCAUUUGCCAAGGAUGUUUUCAUUAAUCAAGAACGAAAGUUAGGGGAUCGAAGACGAUCAGAUACCGUCGUAGUCUUAACCAUAAACUAUGCCGACUAGGGAUCGGAUGAUGUUAAUUUUUUUAAUGACUCAUUCGGCGCCUU
rnacentral:rRNA from 1 species